GAUUUAGUUCUUAAAAAAGCGGAGACUCACGAGAUGGGAUUCCAGGUUCUAGCAAUCUUCUAGCAACCUCGAAGAUGGCAGGGUCUUGGGUAGUCACCACCUACGAGCCAUUUGCAAUGCCAAUGAGGAGUUACUUCAACUGGUUCAUGCGGAAAAGCAAGAAAGAAGAACUUGAGGCAGAAAUGCGGGAACUAGAGUACGAACAGCCUUGAGACUUCCAGCUCGACCGCAUCGAUCGGUUCUGCGAAGAGUUUGGGAGAUUUUGAAAGAAUCGUGCAAAUGAGUACGUGAAUUCACCGCAUCAGAUCUUGCCUCUUGUAUCGUAUCACAACAAACUUGUUCACUGUUGAUGAGUUUUUCAACGUCCGGGAUCAUAAAUUUUUACAAACCAUGUCAUAGAUUCCAGGAAUGUGAGCGAGAAGAUGCAAAGAGCUUGGUUG
rnacentral:lncRNA from 1 species